CAGAGUGGCAGGCAGUCAGGCACCCACUUCCUUCUGCUACUGCCUUCCUCUGGUCACACCUUCUUUGUAACAUUGCGGUUCUCUUUACAAGAAAUUGUUACCAAAGACGAGGACAAAAACGAUCACAUGCCCUGAGCAGCUGAUCUCCGUUUCCUGUAUCUGCAUGUAAGCCAAAAUACUGCCUUAUACAGAAACAGUGAGAUGAGGCCCCAGCAAACCAGUUCAAGGACUGAGGGCUUUGUCUUCAGACUGAACAUAAAGCUGACAGGAACAGAGUCAAAACUUUGGCUGGAGUUCAAGCUGACCUCGUUGCUCCGUGCAAAUAUUUGCCACUAGAUGGCGAUGGAGACCAUUACACAGACUGGAUUGGAUACUGUAAAGCCCUGAGGGUCCUGUACAGUAAAGAGAGCCCUUGUGGAAGAAUUUACUGUGAGGCUUUUGCUUUUAAUGCACCUUUUGAUGACGACAGAGUCCAAAGUGGAGACUGGACAAAAGAUUGAGUGAAAUGUAAACAGCGCCUGUGUUUAGUAUGUGAUGUUUUGAGCUCAGUGACUAAAAUGAACAUAUUUGAAUAAAUGAAUACCUUAAAGCAA